CACGUAGGGCGCAAGCGUUGUCCGGAAUUAUUGGGCGUAAAGAGCUCGUAGGCGGUCUGUUGCGUCCGCUGUGAAAACUCGGGGCUUAACCCCGAGCCUGCAGUGGAUACGGGCAGACUAGAGGUAGGUAGGGGAGAAUGGAAUUCCCGGUGUAGCGGUGAAAUGCGCAGAUAUCGGGAGGAACACCGGUGGCGAAGGCGGUUCUCUGGAACGUUUCUGACGCUGAGGCUCGAAAGCGUGGGGAGCAAACAGG
rnacentral:rRNA from 1 species